CUAGAGACCGGCGCACGGGUGCGUAACGCGUAUGCAAUCUACCUUUCACAGCGGGAUAGCCCAGAGAAAUUUGGAUUAAUACCUCAUAGUAUAGUACCUUGGCAUCAAGGAAUUAUUAAAGAUUUAUCGGUGAAAGAUGAGCAUGCGUCCCAUUAGCUAGUUGGUAUGGUAACGGCAUACCAAGGCUACGAUGGGUAGGGGUCCUGAGAGGGAGAUCCCCCACACUGGUACUGAGACACGGACCAGACUCC
rnacentral:rRNA from 1 species